UGCCUGCCAGGCUUCCGCCCCUGCCCGGCCCCAGGGGAGCUCUAAUGCGGUUGUCCCCUCCAGUGCCCACAAUAAAGGUCUUUUUCUUUUUUCCUUUCCUUCCUUGCUUUUGCUUUUCUACCACGCAGAGGAAAAACCUAUCAGUUUUUAAUUUGUACUGUCAUCUACUGGGCCCCAGUGACAGCCUCUGCUGAAAAUGAGGAGUCACAGUGCUUCGCAAUCAGGCUGCAGGGAGAGAGGAAGAGAGGAAAUAGGAAAGGAGACACAGACAGGGAGAUGAGUGUGCCAGCUGGCCAGCCUGCUGCACGUUGGGAGCCCAAGGCUGUGUCUCUGGGCGCCUGGGGGCCGUCAGCACCCUGCUGGUGCUGCAGUCCCUGGCCGGGCACCAUCGCCUCCCCAAAGCAAGAGACCGGCAGGACUGUCUGGAUGGAAGCCAUCUCAAGGGUGUGCAGCCUGGGCCCAGUGCACUUCCUGUCUGCACCCCGAUGCCUUGGAAGAGAACCUACCUCCUGCAGUGGUUCAAAAUCCAGAAGGCACGUGGGGAAGCCCUGAUAGUUCGAUCGUAUAUGAAGUUUUGAAAAGGAAAAAUCUUGGCAUGACAAGAAACAUACCAGGCAAAGGAAAAAAACAAAUGCCAGGCCAGUGGAAACAUCACGACUCACUUGCAGACAAAGCCUUAAUAGUCCCACUACAUAAAGAGCUUGUGAAAGAAAGAUUUAAAAAAUAAAUAAAUCCUAUAAGAGCAAAAUGGGGCAGAAAUGAGAAAAGCAAAUCAAAGCCAUGCAGGGCUACCCAGACCCAGGGACCGGAAUGCCGAACCAGAGGUGAAGACAAAGGACCCAAACUUACAGGGUCCAGAGCACCACAAAUUCAGUGGGGACUUUGUAUUCGGUCUGAUUUUUCCCUACAGGCAACAGGGCGAUGACACCACAGCUUCUGGUCAGCGCCCCCACGUGGGACAGAGCAGGGACAACACAGAAUGCGGGGCUGCCACGCAGGCGUGGGGUCUGUUGGUGGCCUCAGUGCAUGUGGACUUAGGAUGGGUUUCUCCAGGAAGAGCUCGACCACGAGCCAGGGCAUCCUCCGUGGAUGGGCUGCUGCUCCGUGGAUAGGCUGUGGAGGAGCCGCUCUCGAACGCAGCUCAUGGCCACAGCAAACAACGCGACCCGUACACUUGCCUUUCGCUGCUGGGACAUUGUUUCCAGGAACCUGUUCCAAUCCCAGCGCAAAAUCCCGAAGGGCAGCAGAAGGGGAGAACUCACUGCUGCUUGUGGAGCCCCAAGAUGUCUGCGUGCUAGAGACCUGCCGACUACAGCACAGGGGGCGCUACGGCCGGGACCCCAGGGUGCACGCUUGAAGCUGAGGCUGGGGGUAGAGGCCAAGGUGCUGGGCAGCCACCUCUCCACAGAAGGGGACAUCAAUAACGUUGGCAUGUAGGUCACAAAUGAACAAAACAGCUGCUUUUAAAAGGAGGGUGGAGAGGUGGAAAGACAGGGGUAGAAGCUGGACCUCCAUCCACCUGUACUUGGAUCUGAUGAGAGACACAUAAGCAAAAAUCCAGGGGAUGCAAAGCAUAAUCCUGGUUUUAUAUUUUUUACUAAAAAAACCAAAGAAGAGAAUAACUUUUUGCAUCCUUUUAAAACUUCCCUUCAAUGGACAGAGUACUGCAGUCCCUCUGUAUCCAGGAUUUAUGAGGACUGGUUCCAGGACUCCCUGGAAUCUAAAGAUCACCUAAGUGCAGGAGUACACUAUUGGCACAGAUUCGAGGCCACCCUUCUGCAGACCGGAGCCAUCUCUCUAUGAUUCAUGCUACCUGGCCCAAGGUCCCUGCCAAACUAGUGAUGGCGCUGCAUUGUGUGGGGAACAAUGACAAGAAAAAGUCUGUUCCCCCAGGGCUGAAUAGGUGGCACGGAAAGCAACAGACACAGAGGCCGAGCUGCUCAUUAAGACAUCCUGUGAGGUCACAACAAGCUAACUUCCUUUCAGAGCCACCUCAGCGUAAGGGAACCACAUCUCACAGGGAAUCAGCAAUCCCAGGUCUGGGCCAGCUCCUGCUUCCAUGAGGCUGAACUUCAAGAUUUGAACUUCCAUGAGGCUGAACGGCAGGCUUUGAUCCUGGUUUGUCCAUACAGCAAUGCAUGAGGUCCAGGCUCAGAGCUGUUACCCCUGUGGCCCUGAGCAUAGCUGUGAUAGCCACUUCUGAAGAAUCCAUCAAAGUCCUGCCAGGCUCGGCUCAUGGUGGGGCUCAAAAGAGGUGCAGGGUACUGGGUAAGAUAUCUUUAGGCAAGAUAUUGUUAGAACCAGGAGGGGCUAGGUCUGCCAGUGUGGUGGGAAGACUUGCAUGUGAAUCCUUUCGUGUCUCCUCACAGACUAUGCUAAAAAUAAUGGACUCCAGCCCAUUGCAAGCUGCACUGGGAUUAUAGGAUUGAGAUACAGUUUUAUAGACAGAUCUGUUUUGCAGGGCUGACCUGCAAAUAGACAACAUUUGCAUGGAAUGAGAUUGUACAGUCUUGGGUCUGUUCUCAACUAUGCAUCGGUUUUCCCCUGUUUUUACAGGGGAGCUUUGCAUGCUCACUUUGAGAAGCACUGGAUGGAAGGCUUGGACCCCAGGCAGGGCUGGAGCUCAGGAGAAGUCUCUUGAGGCCUGCACACCAUGCCAGGCAGGGGUGCUGCCUGUCAGGAACCCUAUUAAGCCUCCUCAUGCAGAUCUGGCUGCUCAGGGGCCCCGGCUGCUGAAAUACAGAGGCAAAGUCUUCCUUUCCACACUCCGGAGUAAGGCAGUGUUGUCUGCGCUCCUCAGUAAAUCAGGAACUACUGGUGAGGCAAGGUGCUCCUGGGAAGCCCGUUAUCUGUGCCUUGGCCAUUUGUGAGCCUGAAUUACAACUGCCUGAAAAUUAAAGUGGUAAAUGGAGCCUCAAACCGCAGGCAGUGGGGCCAAGGAACUGCUGGCCACCUGGCAUGGCUCCCAAAGGCUCCCGGCACCUGAUACUGCUUGCUAACACAAAGACAGGGUAAUAAACUGAGGAUGAGAUGGAGAUGGAUGUGCCACAGAGGCAUGGAGAAUUCCUCGAGCAGAUGUGUGUAGAAAUUAAUGGUGUGGCGAUAAAGUAAUUCUGAUGCACUGUACAGUAACCAGGGCGAGACUUGGCCCCUGACAACUGUUUGUUUUACAGAGGGAGGAGCUUUCCGAGGGCGGAAGGAAGUGGGGAGGGACAGUGAAACUUCUGGAUGGGGCAGGGCCGUGAGGGAGCUGCUCUGGUCGGCUCCAGGAUGCCGAGGAGUUCGUGCUGCCCAAAGCUUUGCUGGUUUCAAUGUCUAAAAAAGUCCCUGUAGGUUUUCUCUUCCUCCUCCUCUUCCUCCUCUGUAGUUUCAUAUCCUUUUCCUCACCUGCUCCUUCUCACCUGAAUCAGGAUCACCUAAGUAGAGCUAAAAGACCCCCCUUCAGCCAGAAGGCCCUGUCCCAGAUGUGCUCCAGAGUUGUGCCCUGGCCCCGAGGGUGGGUGGGGAGGCGCCUGAUGCUAGGUGCCUGGCAGGCUGCUUGGCUUCACAACUCCUUGUUUAUACCAAUGGAGAAGAAAUCAAAAUGAGAGAGGAACCACUUUGGGACUGCCAUAAAAUUCAAAUGUCAAAAGUGACACCACAAAGAAAGAAAAGAUUCUACAGCGAGCAGCCUUCACCAUGGAAGGCACAUGGCAGUGAAGCCGAGGGAGACACUAGGUUCACAUUUGCAGAUGACGGUUGGAGCCCUGGCUGGGCCACUUUGUAGCUGGCAACCACUGGAAGCCGUGCUGACCUUGGAGUGCUUCAGUUGCAUCUCUGGCCUGUCCUGCUGAGACCCUGGCCAGGCAUUUGCCGUAGCUUUACACCACAGGAAGAGAUGGUGCUCCAGAUCCAGAGUCCGGCCUCCCUGCCGCCCCCUCCCACGGACAGGGUGACAUCAGAUUCUGCUCAGAAAGACCCCAAGAUGCUGGGGGACCCGAGUAAGCCGAUCAGUAUGGUGACUCCCUCUGAUGCCACACGCUUGAAGUUUCCAGAAUGACAAGGAGCCACCCCUUGGCCCACCACACUUGCUCGUUGCCACUUGGCUGACUGCUGCUCCAGGAAACACUCCCAGCUGGAGUGUCCUGACCAGGAGAGAAAGGGAGGGUCAGAGAGCGUGGGGGAACGAGGGGGGUGAGAGGAAGACAGAGAUGGCGAGACAGCAAGAGACAGAGAGACCAAGAGAGACAAAGAUACACACAGAGAGACAGAGACAACACAUAGAGAGACAGAGACACACAGAGAGGAGACGCACAGAGAGACCCCCAUGCCCAAACUGGUAUCGUGGGCAAUGAGCAGCCGUAGCUGCCCUGUCCCCUAUCCCUUCUCGCUCCCCGGUGACGAGAUUGUCCUGCCAGUUCAAGCCACUCACUUGCAGUCAGGGUCUGGGCAAACCGAUCCACACUAAGCCAGCCGGAUGACUGCCAGGGUGGGUCAGGAGAGAGGAAGCAUCACGGCUUUAAAGGAACGGUUUGGAACCCGCUGGAGUGGAGACUUUCCCCGUGCUCUGCAAAGUAAAUGGAGUCCAAACCGUAUGAGAAGAGAAGAGGCUGCACCAGGCACCUGGACCGGGGCAUCAAUCUGGGUUCUCUCUCCCACCCCCUUUUCUUUCCUUUCUUUCUGAACCACUUGUGGCUACCGGCAAGCUCUGAACCAUUUUAAAUCCAGCUUUCAAUGUGGCAAUAACUCCACUCGCUGCUUAGAGUUUUCUGAAGUUGGCAAUCCGGAGCUGGGGUCCCCUUGGGCCAGAGAAGGGGUCUUUUCUUUGCCCCUGUAAAGGUCUGUGGGGCAGCCCGUGCCUGAGGCUGAACAGAACUGUGACCAGACAGUAGCAAAACAGUCCGCCUGAGAGGCCACAAGUUUCUUCCAGUUAACAACACCCUGCCUCACAGCUUAGGGACAGCUCUCAGUCUGACAAAUAUUUACCCUGAGUAAUGCUUAUUUUUGCUGCUAACUACAUGUUCCUGGCAGCCCUGGUAAAGCAGGUUCAGGUGUGAUCCUGGCUGUGUGCUGGCACCUUGGAAGCUGUUGACAUCUGGCGUAGACAGAGCAUAACUGGAUCUCAGAGAGCGAGGAAUGUCAGCAGGGCCCAUGGGGACCUCAGAGGGGCUGCUGGUGCAAACUUCCAUCCGUGUCAGAGGUGACUGUGGACUCACUGGGUCAGUCCUAGAGGGACCAGGCUGACCUUUCAUGACAGACACUCCCAGACACAGAUUAUCCGCAGGUUUUCUCCAUGCCAUGCGAGAUGUGACCUGCUCCCAGUAAAAUUAACAACGUAAGACACCAAAAUGCUUUGGUGGGCGCUUGCCGAAGACCAAACUGUUCAUUAUACCCAAGUCCAGCUGUGAGCGUGACUGUGCGGGGCUGUGCCCACGCAGAGAGUGGAGGACAGUUCCUGGAAAAGGCCCUGCUGGUGCAUGCAAGGUGCACGAGGUGAAAAUGUCAAGGACCCAGCCACCCAGUGAGGAGCCUUAGUGAUGGAAAUGUGCUCAUCGCUGUCCAAGUGCUGUCCCAAGCGUCUGAACCCUUCCAGAUGGCAGGCCCCACGGGUGGAAGACAGGAAAUGCAAAGCAGUUUUGGCCCAGGCACAAAAAUGUGAGCCACAGCAGAGAAGGCUCUGUGGAAUUUACUCUGUGAGUUUUACACUGUUUGAGCCACAAGUCCUGCACCUCAGCAGGGUUUGGUGCUCGGGACCCUUGGUCUCAGGGGACUAAGCCCUGGAGAGCUACUUUAUGCAAGGACGUGAAUGAGCUGGAAAGAGAAUGAGGAAAGGCCGGGCACUGCCCACCCCACAGCUCUAGGACUCUGUCCCUCCAUCCCCGGCAUCCCUGCAGCCCCAUAUAGGACAUAGCUUCUGAUGCUCCUCCAAUUCCCUCACUCCACUCUAGCCUCACUGAGUUGCACUGUCACUGACAUGGGUCCAGCUGUCCCCCUGGGUCAGCUGCUGAGUCCUGCACUGCAGGUCACAUGUGGAGUAGCAGGGAGAAGGGACUCCAGUGGGUACCUGUGGGCAGACAGAGCCCGGCACGUGGACGUCGAUUGCCCUCUGUGCCACCACAUGCUUCUGCUAGACCACAGACUACAUGUGCCCUUUGAUCCCUCAUUCUGAGGGGGCAUCGCUACAUGGCAGUGUGGCUCAGCUUUCUCCCACGCUGACAGAGUACUGAGUGACUGAUGUAGGAGGAGGAAAGGGCUAUUUGUGCUCAGCCUUUCAGAGACUCUGGUGGGGUGCGGCUCUCUCCACUCUGUGGCCUUAGGCCUGUGGUGAGGCAGUAAAUGGUGGCAGGAGUGUCCCUGUGGAAACUGGUCACUGCCCAUGUCAGCCAAGAAACAGGCUGGGCCCAGUGACCUCACUUCCUUCCUUGGGACCCACCUUUUAAGGGUAUUGCCACCUCCCAACAGCAUCACAGGCCUGAUGACUGACAAAGCCUGGAGUGUGCAAGCUGAGGGGUCAGCACUUCUCCCAGCCACAGUGAUGGUGCAAAACCCAAUGGCAGUAAGCUGCGUGCAACCCGCCCCUGCAGCUGUCUCCACCACAGAAGGAGAGGGGCAGAUUGGCGGCGUGGGUUGUGUGGUUUCCUACCUUCCCUAAGGCACAGGAAGGCCUGUGAUGGAUCCUGAUGGUCCAACUCUGUGGCCAGGAGCAGGUCCUGGCCCCAAGGAUUCCUGAACAGCACUGUGCACACUCAUGAUCCUCCUGUGCCCGAGUCCGCUGCUGGGGAAAUUGCUCUUCAGUGCCCGGCGUCCCAAGAAGAAACAGGGACGAGUGCUCUGCUGGGUGGCCCAGGUCACUGUGCUGGGACCAGAAGGGGGUCCCCACUUUUGGGCCUCACUGCUGUGGGCUGGAGCUGUGUGAGUGGCCCACAAAUCCAGCAGGAGGCCGUGAUGCGUGCACCUUGCCUGGCUGUGUGACUUGGGAGUUGAGCCCUUGGUUCGCUGUUCUCACGACAACAAACUACACAAUGACACAAAAUACUGUUUUAAAAC